UCUCUGUUGCCUGUGUCAUUAAUGUUGUAAGCGUUUUCUUUCCAUCUUCCCCAAACUCCCUUCCCCAUUUCCGGUCGAUGGCCUGCCGUUUACAGCGAAGAAUUUACCCGACUCUUCACUGUUGCAGGACAGGACAUAUCUAUGAAAACCCGGCCUUGAUACACACUCUGUUCCUGUUUGUCUGGCGAGGAAAGGAGACGAGGAGAGAGGAGAGGAUGAGUGCGGGAGCAGCAUCAGUCUUUGCAGGACGGAGACAAUAAAGUCAAUUUUUCUCAGUUUGAUUCAGCGACAGAUUCUGUGUGUUUCUAUGUGUUCACAGAAAACGGUGUCCAUAAACCAGCAGCAAAACACAUGGACCGGAUUACACUGACUGACUGGACUGGACUUUGUUUACCUUUGGUGGGGCGAAAGGUGGGGUACACCCUGGAGGAUGAGCAAAGAGGUGAGAGAGGCAGCCCUGGCAGUGUGGAGUUGCUCAGUGACAGCAAGAAAUCCUCAAAUGAUUGGAUAAAACCCGCCUAAACUAAGCUAACAGCAUGCCGCUGUAACGCACAGCCCUCCAUCCUUUCCCCUCCCAUCCCCUCUGUCACUGCACAGUUUUCGCAAUUUCAUCAGCUCCAUCGUCAAGCAUCUGGACUCUGUGGGGAUUUGACGAGUUGCGAUCGGGACCAGAUGCCUUCUAUCGCGAUGUCUCCCCACUGAGUACGAGAGCCAAAGACACAAUAAAGACUUCAUCUGUAACUAAUACAUAUUCCCGUUCACUUGCUGGUCCCGAUUGAAACAGACAUGUAAGUAUAAUAAUGAGGCUUGAUGGGCUGCGCCUUGGUGUGGCAUAGACACCGAUAACCUGGACUAUAGAUACUGCUGCUGCUGAUGACACAAGGACUUUAUGAUUAAUCAUCUACUAUACAGCUUAACCAGAGAAGAAUUACACUGCUUUGAAAGCAUGAUAAUCUAAUACAGGACGUGAACGUGGUGAGACAUUGAUUCAAGCUCUGACAAACUGAUGGUUUCAUGUAUAUAUACAUUUUAUUUUAAUGAUCAUGAAACUACCUCUUCCACUUGGCGUUUGCAUGUUCUCCCUGUGUGUGUGUGCAGGUUCUCCGGUUUCCUCCCACAGUGCAAAAACAUGUAAUAUGGGGAUUAGGUAAAGUAGACACUCUAAAUUGACCGUAGGUGUGAGAGUGGAUGGUUAUUUGUCUCUAUAUGUGGCCCUGUGAUGGACUGGUGAACUGUCCAGGAUGUACCCCGCUUAUCUCGACCCUCAUUGUGGAGGAUAGAGCGGUAGAAGAUGGAUGUAUGCAACUACCUUUAAGAGAGAUUCAUUUUAGUUUUAAUUACAUGAUUUUAUGUUCAAACUUUUCUCCUAAUUGGGUGCUGAAAGCUCAAUAUUAUAAUUUGCGAAAACAAAACUGUCUGAUUGGCUUCAUUGUUGACAUUUAUUAUUCAAAUCUCAUAAUAAUAAUUACAUAAGCUCUCCGUGAGAUGUGCACUGUCCUGAAAUCCCAUCGUGCGCAAACAAGUUAAUGGAUUUCUUUACUCUCUCUGAUUACACUUUUGUUUUAACAGUCUCCAGUCACCCUCAUGUGGAGCAUAAAGCAGUAGACAAUGAAUGAAUGCAACUAGUUUGUAAAUAAAUUUCCACUAACAAGCUUAAGUACAAAAUUUGAACUUGUAACACAGCAGCCAGUUCCUGUCAAGACCAUCUGUAAACUUUUUUUUCAAAACACUCACUCAUCUUCUACCGCUUUAUCCUCUACUCUCACACUUACAAUUAAGGUCAAUUUAGAGUGGCCAAUUUACCUAAUCCCCAAAUCUGCAUGGUUUUAGACUGUGGGAGGAAACCAGAAAGGAAGGAAAACCCAUGCACACAGAACAUGCAAAGUCUAUGCUCUUGUUCCAACCGUUCUUCUUGCUGCAAAGGCAACAGUGUAAACCACUACUUUUCAAAUACACUUACAUUAAACAUAAUUUCCAGUAAUUCAAUAUGGAUAAGAUUUGACACAAUGACAGUUUCAACAAUCAUCAUUUGAUUCACGGUAUAAAUA